CCUACGGGAGGCAGCAGUAGGGAAUCUUCCGCAAUGGGCGAAAGCCUGACGGAGCAACGCCGCGUGAGUGAUGAAGGUCUUCGGAUCGUAAAACUCUGUUAUUAGGGAAGAACAAACGUGUAAGUAACUGUGCACGUCUUGACGGUACCUAAUCAGAAAGCCACGGCUAACUACGUGCCAGCAGCCGCGGU
rnacentral:rRNA from 1 species